CGCUGCUUCUAGUUCCGGGCGCUUUGCCGGGCGUUAAUGGCGGCCAACAUCGCCGGUGCUGCGGCUUUCUCCCUAAAGUGUCACAGGAGCUAAGGGCGCUGCUUAACGAACUGCAGAAGACGCAGGCAGUUUCCCUUCCCAGACUCUGAUAACGACCAUUCUAUUCUCUAUCUCCAUGGUAUCUACUAUUUUACCUCCCAUAUGUAAGUGAGAAUAUGUAAUAUUUGUCUUUCUGUCCCUGGAUCAUUUCACUUAGCAUAAUGUCCUCCAGCUCCAUCUAUGUUGUUGCACAUGACAGGAUCUCAUUCUUCUUUAUGGCUGAAUAGUACUCGAUUGUGUAUGUGUACUGCAUUUUCUUUAUCCAUUCAUCCAUUGAUGGACACUUAGGUUGAUUCCCUAUCUUGGCUAUUGUGAAUAGUGCCGCAGUAAACAUGAGAGUGCAGAUAUCUCUCCAAUAUACUGAUUCCUUUCUAGGGAUGUAUACCUCGCAGUGGGGAUUGCUGGAUCAUAUGGUAGUUCUACUGAUAAACACACUUAAAACAAUUUCAAUACCUGCCA
rnacentral:lncRNA from 10 species